UACCAAAUAGUUGUUGAGGAGGAGCGCCCUCGCAGAACCAAGAAAACAACAGAAAUCCUGAAAUGCUAUCCUGUACCAAUUCACUUCCAGAAUGCUUCAAUUCUGAACUCCCAGUAUUAUUUUGCAGCUGAGUUUCCAGCCAACAGCAUUCAGAUUGCUCAGCCUUUUACUAUUGGUGACAACAAAACCUACAGUGGCUUUUGGAAUACUCCUCUUCUUCCUCAUAAAAGUUACAGCAUUUAUUUUCAAGCCGCCAGCAGAGCUAAUGGGGAAACAAAAAUUGACUGCGUCAGAGUAGCUACAAAAGCUGCGAUAAUCGUGACUCAGCUUACAACACCAUACAUUCGCAUCGCCCCUGCUGCAGGUGA